rnacentral:misc_RNA from 1 species
UGAUCACCAAGAAUGUGAGGAUUAAAUUAAAUUGAUUAAAAAAGUUUAGGGGUAAUUAAAAGAUAGAAGUACUAAAUUGAAUAAAUUAUAAAGUGAGGGGAAAAAAUUAAAAAUGACAAAUGAACAACCAAUUAGAAGUUGAAAGCUCACUAAGGACCAAUGGGUAAAAACCAAAGGACAAUACCCUUCCUUAUUUCCCCAUUCCAACCG